rnacentral:lncRNA from 1 species
AACGAUCCUUUUGUGCUAGCUCAACAAGCUGUUCAAGUGUAUUAUACUCCUUUUUCAUCAACAGAGAGAGGAAGAAAAGAUUGGUGGGCUGUUUAUGAAAUUAAAUCUCAAGCCAUUCAUUACGAGCUCGAAAAAAAGAAGAAGAGCCCCAUUUACCAGAAUGCUUUCAGGAGGAUGAAAUAUUAGGAGUUCAUCAGCCUUCAAUUGAUGCAGAGUUGGAUGCUUCAAAAAUUUUCUACAUGAUCGACAACACAAGGAGGUAGAUCAUACUGAGUUUGUUUUAAGAAAAAAUCCUAUCCAAGAAGGUGA